CCUACGGGAGGCAGCAGUGAGGAAUAUUGGUCAAUGGCCGGAAGGCUGAACCAGCCAAGCCGCGUGAAGGACGAAGGUGCCAAGCAUUGUAAACUUCUUUUGUCAAGGGACAAAAUCAGGCUCGAGAGCCUGACCGAGGGUACUUGAAGAAAAAGCAUCGGCUAACUCCGUGCCAGGAGCCGCGGUAAUACUGGGGAUGCGAGCGUUAGCGGGAUUUAUUGGGUUUAACGGGUGCGUAGGCGGACUGUUAAGUCAGCGGUAAACGCCCGGGGCUAAACCCCGGCGAGCCGUUGAAACUGGGUGUCUUGAGAGGUGGAGAGGUAUGCGGAAUGCGCAGUGUAGCGGUGAAAUGCUUAGAUAUUGCGAAGAACUCCGAUUGCGAAGGCAGCAUACCGGCGGCGAUCUGACGCUGAGGCACGAAAGCGUGGGUAUCGAACAGGAUUAGAUACCCCAGUAGUC
rnacentral:rRNA from 1 species